CAUACAAAACACAGAGUGGUCCUCCACGUUGAAAUUGGUGGCGCCUUCAGUUGAACAGGAUGUCCAAAUUCCUGUUAUUGUUCGUGUAAACGAUUACAGGGUCCUGUAAUCGAUUACAGAACUCAAUUUCACAACUACUUCACUUAACUUUAGGUUUCCAUCAUGGGUGGUCUCUCCCACCAUAAUGGGGGGCCCAAAACAUAAGGUUCAUCUAACUCAUCACUCAGGAAACAAAAAAACACAAGUUCAAUCAAGGAUUUCCAUACAGAACACAGAGUGGUCCUCCACGUUGAAACUGGUGGUGCCUUCAGUUGAACAGGAUGUCCAAAUUCCUGUUAUUGCUCGUGUAAACGAUUACAGGGUCCUGUAAUCGAUUACAGAACUCAAUUUCACAGCUACUUCACUUAACUUCAGGUUUCCAUCAUGGGUGGUCUCUCCCACCAUGAUGGGGGACCCAAAACAUAAGGUUCAACUAACUCAUCACUCAGGAAACAAAAAAACACAAGUUCAAUCAAGGAUUUCCAUACAGAACACAGAGUGGUNCUCCACGUUGAAACUGGUGGCGCCUUCAGUUGAAUAGGAUGUCCAAAUUCCUGUUAUUGUUCGUGUAAACGGUUACAGGGUCCUGUAAUCAAAUACAGAACUCAAUUUCACAGCAAACACAUUGGAAAUUCACUGCACUUCAUUGGAUUUUGACCACAUUACAUUAUUUCUGAUUCAANCAUCUCUUUCAAC
rnacentral:lncRNA from 1 species